CAUAUACCAGAAGAAGAACAGGGGAGAGAAGUCCUUGGCAUUGGCCUUUGUUUUCUUCUUUCUCAUUCCAGACGAGGUCCUGCUCUGUGGAUGGGAGGUCUGCUUCUGGGGAGCCGCCUAGCAGGAGGCUGAGUGGGAGCUGAGUCAUUAAUCACGAUUUUUCAUGAUGUAUUAUGUAACAUGUAAUGCUGUACCAGGCACUAUAAGGAACAGGAAAAAGACAAUUUCCGCUCAAGAAGAGCUAUGCUGUCAAAUAUGUUCAGAUCAUUUGACUGAUGAGGAAACUGAGGCCAGCAGGGUUAAGUGACUGGCCCAGGGUCACAGAGCUGGUAAGUGUCUGAAGCCAGAUAUGAACUCAGAAGUCGUCUCUACUUUUAGGUCCAGCACUCUACCCACUGUGCCACCUAACUACACUCACUAGCCCAAACCAAAACCAAAUGAGAGGCAGCCUUAGUAUGGUGGACAAAAUGCUGGAUUUGGAGUCAGGAAGGUUGGAGUUUGUAUCCUAUUUCUGACACCCACUAGCUGUGUGACAUCAGACAUGUCACUUAACCUUUCCAAGCCUCAGUUUCCUCAUCUGUAAAGUCUGAAUGAUAACAACAGCACCUACCUCCCAGCAUUAUUGAGUCUCAAAUGAGGUAACAUGUAAAGAGCUUUGCAAACGUAAAGGUGCUAUAUAAAUGGGAAUUUGUAUUAUCUUUUUCCUCACUCUGGCGCUUUCGUAGCAUAUCUUAGAAAAAAUCAAGGAAUUCCUUUUCCCUUCCCAAAAGUUAAAGCAUCAGGAAAAUGCCAAUGAAUGCUCUCAGGCAGAGUUUCUUAUCCUUUUUUGUAUUAUAAACCCCUUGGAAGUCUAAUGAAACCUGAGGUUCCCUUCUC
rnacentral:lncRNA from 1 species